GACGUAGGGGGCAAGCGUUGUCCGGAAUCAUUGGGCGUAAAGAGCGUGUAGGCGGCCAGAAAAGUCCGCUGUGAAAACUCGAGGCUCAACUUCGAGCUGUCGGUGGAAACUUUCUGGCUAGAGUCCGGAAGAGGAGAAUGGAAUUCCUGGUGUAGCGGUGAAAUGCGCAGAUAUCAGGAAGAACACCAGUGGCGAAGGCGGUUCUCUGGGACGGUACUGACGCUGAGACGCGAAAGCGUGGGGAGCGAACAGG
rnacentral:rRNA from 1 species